rnacentral:snRNA from 1 species
AUUAAGACAGCAGGACGG